rnacentral:rRNA from 1 species
AGCGUUGGCGGGUCCAUUAGAAUAAGAUGGGUAACUUCCGGCCAGCAGCGCGGUAAUACGGAGGAUCCGAGCGUUAUCCGGAUUUUUGGGUUAAAGGGUGCGUAGGCGAAAUGUAAGUCAGUGUGAAAUCCUGCAGCUUAACUGUAGAAUAGCCGUUGAAACUGUGUNUCUUGAGUACAUUUGAGGUAGGCGGAAUGUGGUGUGUAGCGGUGAAAUGCAUAGAUAUACCACAGAACACCGAUUGCGAAGGCAGCUUACUAAACUGUCACUGACGCUGAUGCACGAAAGCGUGGGUAUCAAACAGGAUUAGAUACCCUGGUAGUCCACGCUGUAAACGAUGAUUCCUGGUUGUUUGCGAUACGCUGCAAGUGACUGAGCGAAAGCAUUAAGUAAUCCACCUGGGGAGUACGUCGGCAACGAUGAAACUCAAAGGAAUUGACGGGGGCCCGCACAAGCGGAGGAACAUGUGGUUUAAUUCGAUGAUACGCGAGGAACCUUACCUGGGUUUAAAUGGGGAGUGACAGGCUUGGAAACAGGCCCUUCUUCGGACACUCUUCAAGGUGCUGCAUGGUUGUCGUCAGCUCGUGCCGUGAGGUGUCGGGUUAAGUCCCAUAACGAGCGCAACCCCUAUCGAUAGUUACCAGCACGUUACGGUGGGGACUCUAUCGAGACUGCCGGUGUAAACCGUGAGGAGGGUGGGGAUGACGUCAAAUCAGCACGGCCCUUACAUCCAGGGCUACACACGUGUUACAAUGGCCGGUACAAAGGGCAGCUACACAGCGAUGUGAUGCUAAUCUCCAAAUCCGGUCUCAGUUCGGAUCGAAGUCUGCAACCCGACUUCGUGAAGCUGGAUUCGCUAGUAAUCGCGCAUCAGCCAUGGCGCGGUGAAUACGUUCCCGGGCCUUGCACACACCGCCCGUCAAG